UACGUAUGGUGCAAGCGUUAUCCGGAUUUACUGGGUGUAAAGGGAGCGCAGGCGGCGCGUUAAGCCUGGUGUGAAAGCCCGCGGCCCAACCGCGGGACUGCAUUGGGAACUGGCGCGCUGGAGUGCCGGAGGGGUAGGCGGAAUUCCUAGUGUAGCGGUGAAAUGCGUAGAUAUUAGGAGGAACACCAGUGGCGAAGGCGGCCUACUGGACGGUGACUGACGCUGAGGCUCGAAAGCGUGGGGGGCAAACAGG
rnacentral:rRNA from 1 species